rnacentral:lncRNA from 1 species
GUUUCGAAAAAAGGAAACACACAGCUCAUGGUCCGAAUGAAUUCCUGUCAAAACGUGUUGGCAUUGAAUAUAUACCGAAUAUUAUUCACGCGAAGGUCAAACGAAUGCAUUUCUGAAGAUCCUUGGUAAUUUAAUUAUUGUCAAAUAACCAACGGCAAAAAAGACAAUAAUAAUUUUAGUAGAUUCAUUGGAAUGUACAAGUUGGCACGCUUGCUAGAAGAUUCGAAGAAUUUCAACACCUGACAUCAAGUUUGAUGGAAUCUGGAAAGAACCGGCAAAGACACUUAACCGGAUAAUGCUUACGACUGCUACUAACCUACUUUUAAAUUAAACAAAAGAGCUUCAUCGAUUUCCUAAAGAAGCAUAUACAGAUAGUAAAUAUCCCGAAGAUUACCUUAAAUGAAAUAAUUAUUCGUCUAGUUUAAUUGGAACUGCAAAAUACUUUGACUUAAAUUUAAACGAUGCUCAUUGAAACUAAUAGCAUUACUUACAUACAUAUGUAUACUACUACAUUACACCAGUCGAAGUAGUCUGUUACUUUAUAUGGAAAAACGACAUUUUAAUUUUGAUGGAAGAUAUACCAACGUACCUACAACGAAUACUUUACACGUGUUAUCAUAAAAGGAAAAAGACAAGGAAUAUCGAAGAAGAGCUUCCUAUUUAAUAAACGAUAAUAGAAAUCAGAUAAAAAGUGAACCAUACAUUAUAUACGAUUAUUAUCUGUUAUUGGCAUAAAUAGUUAAUUAAUCGAAAACACAAUUAUUGUAUUGUUUAGUAUCAGCGAUUUAAUGCACUCGAGCAAUUUAUAAUCAAACAUGGGCAUACAACUACGCGGUACUUA